AGCUUUGCGCAGUGGCAAUAUCAUAGCCAAUGAGGUUUACCUGAGGCGUGAUUAUUGCUAAUUGAAAAAAAAAUUCACUGCAGUCUGCACAUAAGUUUGUGCCUUUACCUUAUUUAAUUCUAGGACUCUUUAAAACUUCUCAUUUCUGCUUCUUGCACACAUCAGCCGCAGCUCCUGGAG
rnacentral:snRNA from 1 species